GCGGGUAUAGUUUAGUGGUAAAACCCUAGCCUUCCAA
rnacentral:tRNA from 2 species